CAGCUUUUCCUCUUGGGAACAGCUGCUGCUGGUGAAGCUUUUGCAGGAUGCAGACUGUGAAAUCUGGGGCCAUUUUGUGCCAGUAUUUCCCUGUUGUUCCAGCUCAGGAGCAAGCUCCAGUCGAGUUCCUUGCACUUCUUGGACCAGGUAGUUUGUGAUCAGCCCAGGUGCCACACAGAUGUCAAGAGAUGCUAAUGAGGCCACUUCUACUUUGCACCGUGACCCUGGCACGGCGUGUGCCAGCACCAGUGAGGGGAUAGACUGGAGCAGCUGCCUUCCCCAGGGCCAAGCCAUUAUCGCCCAAACUACAGAAAAACCCAGAUCUUCCUGCUGAAUGAUGGCUGAAGAGAGCAAGCACCAUCCCACACACAUCACUCCAGGCAUUGUGAAAAGUACUUCUGGUCUUUGGUCCUGUUCUGGGGAGCUCACAUGUGACCCAGGUGUAAUUACAGCCCUCUCAGCCAGCACUGGUGGGAUCUGUGCUGGGACACCUGCGAGCUGGAACGUGUCUCACAGGUUGGAAAAAGUGCUUUAUAGCUACAUGAAAGGGACUGUGCCUAAGCCUGGAAUUACUGACAUCUGUGUAUCAUUUCAGUGGUAAAUUACAGCUGGGACAUGCUAACCCCAAAGUUGACAGCCCAAGAGCAGAAAUGCACAUGCAAGCAGUAACUGUACCUGUGACCACAAAUGUAGGAUGCAGCAAAAUCUCAUUUUCCCUUUGUGCUCCUGCAGUCUGGCAUAAUAAGGAAACUCAGAAAUAUUUCAUG